GCGCCCAUAGCUCAGCUGGAUAGAGUGUCUGACUACGAAUCAGAAGGUCGGGAGUUCGAAUCUCUCUGGGCGCA
rnacentral:tRNA from 1 species